CGCCGCCCUCGCUGCCGCCGGACCAGGCCUCGCCCGCCGCCGCCGCCGGCAGGCUCAUCGUGGACCAGGUAUGCAGAGACGCAGAAAAAGCAGUCGAAGACAAACACACAGAGAAAGACGCGACAAAACAAAAAGAAGAAUCAAACAAAGAAGAAUCGGACGUCAAACUAACAGUCAACAGAACGCAGCAAGAAGACAACGUAUCACGAACAAAUUCCACAGAAGAAAUAUCCAUAGUACAGUCCAAA